AUUCAUUUAUUCAUCCAUAAGUCAUUCCACAGUUAUUUAUUAAGUUACUAUCAUAUUAUUGGCCUUGUUCUAGAUGCUAGAAAUACAACCAUAACCAGAACAGAGAUAGUUUCUCUUCUUUUGGAGCUUAUAUUGCAUAGGAGCAUAAAAGAAUUACAACUAAACAAAAAAAUAUGAUAAUUUCAGACAAUAAGAAGUAUGUCAGAGGUGGUACGUACUGGCUCACAACAGUGAACUGUGUGUAUCUCUUCUCAACUUCUUAUUCAGUGGCAUCAUGUUGAUAGCUUGAACUAUUGUAUUAGCCAUAGUAGAGGUAUUUACAUCAUGAAAAUUGGCAAAUGCUAGAAACCAGCACACUCCCUCUCCCCACCACCCCACCAGAUUCAGGUGUUAAGUAUUUAACAGCAUAUCACUGUGUAAGAUGACACAAAAGCAGGUUUGUUAAGAGAUAGUGAUAUGAUAGAGAUAGUCACUACCUCUUAAUGGGUAAGAAUGAGGUUACUCACUUUCAAGAAAUCACUGUAAAAGAUUUUGUACUAAGGCCUGAAAUAUAAGUAGCCAGAAGUGAUAAAGGGAAGAAGAAUCUAGUCAGCAGAGACAGCUGAGUCAAAGGUCCAAAGGGGCAAUAAGCCUGGUAUAUAUUCCAAAAAUAGUAACAAUGAAAGCCACUGAGUCUGAAGCAUAAGAAAUGAGGGAAGGGGGAAUGAAGUGAGGCAAGGUCAGAAAGGUAGUGCAACUUGCACUUGGAAUAGCACUUUCAGCAGGAGAGAGACUACUUGAAGGACUUAGUGUGUACCUAGCACCUAAGAAGUGCUCAAUGCCUGUUAGGUAUUUCUGCUAAUACUUACCUCAUUGUCCCUGGCAGCUCAUAUACUGUUGAAUAGGAGAUAUGCAGUUAAGAUUUGUUGAAUGAUAAAAUGAACAUAUGGUCACAAAGGAAACCCUUUCCCUCUCUGAGCCUUAGUCACCUCAUUAGAAAAAUGAAUUGUUUGCAAACAAGUUCUCCCAGGUUUCUUAUAUUCUCCAUGCUUUUCCAUUGUAUUACCAUGGAAUGCAGACUGGUUUUGUUUAUCCCAACCUGGCAGAGGUUACCACAGUCCUAACAGCUAAUAUUCUCAAACAAACAUAAAAUACCACAUUGUAGUUGUCUCAUUUCAAAACAUGACAUUCCUGUCUUGUACAGUGGCAUAAAACAUAACAGGCUUCCUAUUUCCAUUCUCAUCUAAAGGGAAGAGGGAGAGGGAAAAAGGAGAGAGAGAAAAAUAUGCACUCCCUAACGAGGCCAUAAAUAUUGAUGUCUUCCUUAGGCCGCCCUAGAGCUCUAUCAUUUUGGCAACUAGCUGAUUAAUAAUACAUUAAACACUUUAGAUUUGCUUACUUUGGGAUCUGUGACUUUAAGUGCAUCUGCUGUGAGGGAUCUGGCUGAGAUGGGAAACAACAGAUUGUGUAGACUUCCAGCAUAAAAA